rnacentral:rRNA from 1 species
CCGGAGGUCAUUGCUAUUGGGGUCCGAUUUAGCCAUGCUAGUUGCACGAGUUCAUACUCGUGGCGAAAAGCUCAGUAACACGUGGCCAAACUACCCUACAGAGAACGAUAACCUCGGGAAACUGAGGCUAAUAGUUCAUACGGGAGUCAUGCUGGAAUGCCGACUCCCCGAAACGCUCAGGCGCUGUAGGAUGUGGCUGCGGCCGAUUAGGUAGACGGUGGGGUAACGGCCCACCGUGCCGAUAAUCGGUACGGGUUGUGAGAGCAAGAGCCCGGAGACGGAAUCUGAGACAAGAUUCCGGGCCCUACGGGGCGCAGCAGGCGCGAAACCUUUACACUGCACGCAAGUGCGAUAAGGGGACCCCAAGUGCGAGGGCAUAUAGUCCUCGCUUUUCACGACUGUAAGGCGGUCGUGGAAUAAGAGCUGGGCAAGACCGGUGCCAGCCGCCGCGGUAAUACCGGCAGCUCAAGUGAUGACCGAUAUUAUUGGGCCUAAAGCGUCCGUAGCCGGCCACGAAGGUUCAUCGGGAAAUCCGCCAGCUCAACUGGCGGGCGUCCGGUGAAAACCACGUGGCUUGGGACCGGAAGGCUCGAGGGGUACGUCCGGGGUAGGAGUGAAAUCCCGUAAUCCUGGACGGACCACCGAUGGCGAAAGCACCUCGAGAAGACGGAUCCGACGGUGAGGGACGAAAGCUAGGGUCUCGAACCGGAUUAGAUACCCGGGUAGUCCUAGCUGUAAACGAUGCUCGCUAGGUGUGACACAGGCUACGAGCCUGUGUUGUGCCGUAGGGAAGCCGAGAAGCGAGCCGCCUGGGAAGUACGUCCGCAAGGAUGAAACUAAAGGAAUUGGCGGGGGGAGCACUACAACCGGAGGAGCCUGCGGUUUAAUUGGAU